rnacentral:rRNA from 1 species
GACGAACGCUGGCGGCGUGCCUAAUACAUGCAAGUUGAGCGAUGAAGAUUGGUGCUUGCACCAAUUUGAAGAGCAGCGAACGGGUGAGUAACGCGUGGGGAAUCUGCCUUUGAGCGGGGGACAACAUUUGGAAACGAAUGCUAAUACCGCAUAACAACUUUAAACAUAAGUUUUAAGUUUGAAAGAUGCAAUUGCAUCACUCAAAGAUGAUCCCGCGUUGUAUUAGCUAGUUGGUGAGGUAAAGGCUCACCAAGGCGAUGAUACAUAGCCGACCUGAGAGGGUGAUCGGCCACAUUGGGACUGAGAUACGGCCCAAACUCCUACGGGAGGCAGCAGUAGGGAAUCUUCGGCAAUGGACGAAAGUCUGACCGAGCAACGCCGCGUGAGUGAAGAAGGUUUUCGGAUCGUAAAACUCUGUUGGUAGAGAAGAACGUUGGUGAGAGUGGAAAGCUCAUCAAGUGACGGUAACUACCCAGAAAGGGACGGCUAACUACGUG